rnacentral:rRNA from 1 species
UACGAAGGGGGCUAGCGUUGCUCGGAAUCACUGGGCGUGAAGGGUGCGUAUGCGGGUCUUAAGUCAGGGGUGAAAUCCUGGAGCUCAACUCCAGAACUGCCUUUGAUACUGAAGAUCUUGAGUUCGGGAGAGGUGAGUGGAACUGCGAGUGUAGAGGUGAAAUUCGUAGAUAUUCGCAAGAACACCAGUGGCGAAGGCGGCUCACUGGCCCGAUACUGACGCUGAGGCACGAAAGCGUGGGGAGCAAACAGG